AUACGGAGGGUGCAAGCGUUACUCGGAAUCACUGGGCGUAAAGCGCGCGCAGGCGGCUAUUUAAGUUGGAUGUGAAAGCCUAUGGCUCAACCAUAGAACUGCAUCCAAAACUAUUUAGCUAGAGUGUGGGAGAGGAAGAUGGAAUUAGUUGUGUAGGGGUAAAAUCCGUAGAGAUAACUAGGAAUACCAAAAGCGAAGGCAAUCUUCUGGCACACUACUGACGCUGAGGCGCGAAAGCGUGGGGAGCAAACAGGAUUAGAAACCCUAGUAGUCC
rnacentral:rRNA from 1 species